rnacentral:rRNA from 1 species
AUACGUAGGUGGCGAGCGUUGUCCGGAAUUACUGGGCGUAAAGGGCGCGUAGGCGGUUUUUUAAGUCAGAUGUGAAAACCCGGGGCUCAACUCCGGGCGUGCAUUUGAAACUGGGGAACUAGAGUGCAGGAGAGGAAAGCGGAAUUCCUAGUGUAGCGGUGAAAUGCGUAGAUAUUAGGAGGAACACCAGUGGCGAAGGCGGCUUUCUGGACUGUAACUGACGCUGAGGCGCGAAAGCGUGGGGAGCGAACAGGAUUAGAUACCCUGGUAGUCCACGCCGUAAACGAUGGAUACUAGGUGUGGGAGGUAUCGACCCCUUCCGUGCCGCAGUAAACGCAAUAAGUAUCCCGCCUGGGGAGUACGGCCGCAAGGUUGAA